GACGAACGCUGGCGGCGUGCCUAACACAUGCAAGUCGAACGAGGUCCAAGGAGUGCUUGCACUCCUGAAGACCUAGUGGCGAACGGGUGAGUAACACGUGAGAAACCUGCCCCGGACUCUGGGAUAACUCAAGGAAACUUGAGCUAAUACCGGAUACCCUCCUGCGGUCGCAUGGCUGCUUGAGGAAAGUUUUUCGGUCUGGGAGGGUCCCGCGGCCUAUCAGCUAGUUGGUGAGGUAACGGCUCACCAAGGCGACGACGGGUAGCUGGUUUGAGAGAACGAUCAGCCACACUGGAACUGAGACACGGUCCAGACUCCUACGGGAGGCAGCAGUGGGGAAUCUUGCGCAAUGGGCGAAAGCCUGACGCAGCAACGCCGCGUGCGGGAUGACGGCCUCGGUUGUAACGCGUUCUAGCAGGGCGGAAGAGUAGACGGUACCGU
rnacentral:rRNA from 1 species